rnacentral:rRNA from 1 species
UACGUAGGGUGCGAGCGUUAAUCGGAAUUACUGGGCGUAAAGGGUGCGCAGGCGGCUCCGCAUGUCGGGCGUGAAAUCCCCGGGCUUAACCUGGGAAUUGCGUCCGAAACUAUGGAGCUGGAGUGUGGCAGAGGGAGGUGGAAUUCCACGUGUAGCGGUGAAAUGCGUAGAGAUGUGGAGGAACACCGAUGGCGAAGGCAGCCUCCUGGGCCAACACUGACGCUCAUGCACGAAAGCGUGGGGAGCGAACAGG